rnacentral:rRNA from 1 species
GAUGAACGCUGGCGGCGUGCCUAAUACAUGCAAGUCGAGCGAACGGACGCGAAGCUUGCUUCUCUGAUGUUAGCGGCGGAAGGGUGAGUAACACGUGGAUAACCUACCUAUAAGACUGGGAUAACUUCGGGAAACCGGCGCUAAUCCCGGAUGAUAUUUUGAACCGCAUGGUUCAAAAGUGAAAGACGGUCUUGCUGUCACUUAUCGAUGGAUCCGCGCUGCAUUAGCUAGUUGGUAAGGUAACGGCUUACCAAGGCAACGAGGCAUAGCCGACCUGAGAGGGUGAUCGGCCACACUGGAACUGGGCCGCGUUCCAGACUCCUACGGGAGGCAGCAGUAGGGAAUCUUCCGCAAUGGGCGAAAGCCUGACGGAGCAACGCCGCGUGAGUGAUGAAGGUCUUCGGAUCGUAAAACUCUGUUAUUAGGGAAGAACAGAUGUGUAAGUAACUGUGCACAUCGUGACGGUACCUAAUCAGAAAGCCACGGCUAACUACGUG